CCUGACCUUGGUUCAUGGGCACUCUCUGUUCCCUCAGAUGCCUCAUGAGAACAUGGAAGAUGACAACCCAACACGAUUCUGAGUCUUUCUAGGAACAUGCUAUUUGCUACUGGGCACAGUACUGAGAUCUGUGAGCUGAUUGCACUUGGGAAUGAAAUCCAGCUGCUCCCAUGUUCAGAGAUUUCUGAACUUGCUCAGCAUGAAGAAAACACUAUCUGUCAGGAGUGAGUAAUGUCUUUAGAGGCUGGAGCUUCCAUGAAGGGUCAAAUCCCUCAUGUAUGAAAACUCUUUGAUCCCAGCUGGGGUUUGACUGCCCUGAACACCAAGGGUGGAACUCAGAAGGAGGAUCUGCACUUCUUCCCCAGCUUUUGGAAGGAAAGCCUUGUUCUAUCCUCUCUCUUCAGGUUUUGAAAGACAAUCCUGUUUUGUUUAAGGUCAUGGCUCAGUAUAUUUCUCCCCAGAAUUUAGCCCUCCUUAUAGCAUGGAUCCGGAUUCUGUAAGGGAUUAGAAAUUCAGUCUCACAGCACUACUUUGCCUUUUUUCCCAACAAUUGGCUUACACUGACCUUCCCCAGAGGGCAAACUCCAUUUUUAGGUGUCUAAUUCUCUUGUCAUUAUUUGGCACAGCCUGUGUGCAAACCGUUAUGCCUAGUAAUUAGAUACUGCAGUGCUCAGGGUUGUGACACAAGACUUUCUGAAUCAUUAAUAUUAUGCCUCCACUGUAAUUCUUCGCCUUUCCAAAGGUUCAGAGAAAUGCUGUGGUGUUCAGAGAAAUGCUGUGGUGUGUCACACAUCGGUCUGAAAGCACUACAAAAUCUGCUUUUUCACUAGAGAUUCCUGUGCUGCAAAUAAGGGUUCCUUCUGCUUAUCCACCGUCUGCAGUGAAUUACCCAAAUCAGUGAUUCCUGAGCAUUUUGAAUUAUGCACCAGCUUGCUCUGAACUAUUGUGAACCUUUAGAAUUACAUGGUCAAUUGAGAGCACCAUAAAAGCAAUAUAUUGCUGAUCAUUUAUCUUGGCCCUGCAGGCUGUAUUUUUGGACCCCUAGAUGUAAGCAACAACAAGCAAGUAAAGUUCUUCCUGACCAUCACUCUUGCCACAGCUGAAAGAUUAUUUCCUGAGCCACCCUCUCCAGCCUGACCUCAACAUCCCCAGCAGCAUCAAAUAAUAACCUACCAGGCUCUACCUGUCUCCGAGUAUAACUGUAUUUGAUGUAUUUAUCUUUCUCUAUGUCAAAAUCCAUUGAGAACUCUAACCAAUACCUGGCAGUUCUCAUGCUUAAUUUUGCCUGUGCUGUUCACUGAAAAUUUUGUCCUUGGAUUUUAAAUUUCUACUCAACCUUUAGGUUCAAAUUGUGUUUCUUUUAUCUCUAGAACAGGCACGGUUUAAUGAGGAAUGCCAAACCCUCUCCUUUUUAUGCAUUUUCAAUUAGUUUUGCUUCUUACCCAGUAUAAAUCACUUUCUAGAGACCUUUAUAUAGCAGGUCUUCUGUAGUUUUCUGCUGUCAGGUUUGUCGUUUUCAGUGUGUUGAGCACUGUUCUCCUUCCUUUCUUCGUUGACUUUCUUAUUGCAGGUACUUUCUUAUUUGUGCCCACAUUAUAACUGCACAGCUUUGGCCCUUGAGCAGGAAUCCUGGGAGAAGAGAGCUAAUGCUGCACUCCUGACACAAACAGAUCACACACCUCAAAGCACCACUCCUCCAUGAACCGCCUGACAACUGCCCCCUGGGUUCCCACUGAUUUUCACCUCCGUACAGA